rnacentral:rRNA from 1 species
AUUGAACGCUGGCGGUAGGCCUAACACAUGCAAGUCGAACGCGAAAGUCCUUCGGGAUGAGUAGAGUGGCGGACGGGUGAGUAACGCGUAGGAACCUAUCCUGUAGUGGGGGAUAACGUUUCGAAAGGUACGCUAAUACCGCAUACGCCCCACGGGGGAAAGCGGGGGAUCUUCGGACCUCGUGCUAUAGGAGGAGCCUGCGUCGGAUUAGCUAGUUGGUGAGGUAAAGGCUCACCAAGGCGACGAUCUGUAGCGGGUCUGAGAGGAUGAUCCGCCACACUGGAACUGAGACACGGUCCAGACUCCUACGGGAGGCAGCAGUGGGGAAUUUUGGACAAUGGGGGCAACCCUGAUCCAGCCAUGCCGCGUGAGUGAAGAAGGCCCUCGGGUUGUAAAGCUCUUUCGGCCGGGAAGAAAUCGCACGGGCUAAUACCCUGUGUGGAUGACGGUACCGGAAUAAGAAGCACCGGCUAACUACGUGCCAGCAGCCGCGGUAACAC